ACCUUGUGGUCCAGAAGAGGAACGCACAGGACAGUCAGCCCUUCCCAGCACUUCAGGGCGACAUCUGGGGCGAGAUUUCCCCACAGAGAAACCCUGGUCUCCCAGAGGCACUGAUGUUAAAUUGGCAAGAUUUAACUUUCAUUUCCCUGGCCACUUUCCACCCCACAACCCUGAUCCUAUGGCUUGUCAAUAAGCUCAGGCUGCCACCUCUCACCCAGGAUCCUCAGGACCCUCCCUGGCUGCAGGGCCCCUGCCCACUCUUUCAAACCUUUGAGAAUCUCCUCUUCUAAAGUGCUCUAGCCCCAGAAGUACCCCUCCUUCCUUCUUUGAGACCCAAAUUCCUACUCUUCCAGUACAUGAAGCUCAGCUGGCCGACAAAGGAUGUUCAGAACUAUCAUACAUGGGAUCUCCUCUUAUCCUCUUCACAGCCUUCAGGGAAGGUGGUAUAAUGAUCAUCCCAGGUUUUCAGAUGAUGAUACUAAGGGUCAAAGAGGCUGUGAGUGACUUACAGCUACAAAGCGGAGACACCAGGACUGAAAUUCUUAUUUACUGAUUCCAGAUUCCCUGUUCUUUACACUGCUGGCUUGCUUCCACCGAUUACUAAGUGAAAGGAAGCAAUCUCUGCUGUCUUCAGAUGUAGGAGUGUGGAGGAACCCUACUCUCCAAGUUGUCCACUGUGGACUAACCUGUUUUAAGAAUUAGAACUGGGUUUGGUCCAAUUGAAGAAGACAGGAUAGACUCUGGUGCUCGUGAGGCGGGUGGAGACCCAAGGCUCUGAAUGACCCCACCUGUACGCCAACACCGGGUGCAAGCUUGGCUGGCACUCCCAGAUCUGGAUUCUGAUUCUGAGCAAACCUUAACCUGAAACAGGAUGAAGCUUUUCCAAAGAGCACUGGGUGUGCCAGGGGGCCCUCGAGCCCAAAAAUGCCAGCGAGGUAUUCCCACAGCAGUUGGUGCCAAGCAAAACACUGAGAUCCCUAAUCUCCCACCGGACGUGUGUCCUUCGCCCCCCUGCUGGAGAGCUCCUGUCUUAGGAUGAAGCUGGCCCUGGAGGGGCGGGAGGAACUGGACAGUCACGGGUAAGCGGGUCUUGCUGGCUUUCCCCGAAGCAGCUCGUCGCCUGACGAAAACAGCUGCUUCGGGGAAGCCAAAAGGAGACCGAAUUAGCCAGAAAAGGACCAGGUGCAGAGAAGGGAGGGGUGCAGCCAGGGGCCAUGCGGGGCAAGGGGAGAGGAGGAAGAAGUGCAGAAUAGAAACUAGAUACAAACGUGCAUUUUUUUUUUUUUUUUGGCUUGUAGUAUCUCCCCGAGGAGCUAAGGCAAAUAGAAAUGAAGAGCUAUGUACGCAGAACAAUUUGUUAGGACAUUAUUUAUAAGGGCUUUAAUUGCAACAGGUUGUUCGGUUAGGGACGGGGGAUGCUGCACCCACUCCCCCGAGGGGCGAGGGGCAAGUGGGUGGAGCUUUAGAAAGGAUGGUAAGGAGGAUCCCUGGGUGGCUCAGCGGCUUGGCGCCUGCCUUUGGCCCAGGGCGCGAUCCUGGAGUCCUGGGAUCGAGUCCUGCGUUGGGCUCCCUGCAUGGGGCCUGCUUCUCCCUCCUCCGGUGUCUCUGCCUCUCUCUGUCUAUCAUAAAUAAAUAAUUUUUAAAAAAUCUUAAAAAAGAAAGGAUGGUAACUGCGAAGAGAGCAAAAGGCACGAAAGGGGCAAAGUCCCAACUCCUUAGGCAACAGAUUCAGUUAUGGACAGAAACAAGCACAUGGAUAAGAGCUGGAAGGAAGCACCAACAAAUAAAAAACCUAGUGACACAAGUGAAUGUUUUUCCUUUUUUAGUUUCUCCCUCUCUCUGUCUGUCUCUUUUUUCUAAUAGUAUUUCUUAAGAGGCAGGGCAGCAUCACCAAACAGUUCUUUGUUUGUGUGUGGACCAAGGUGGAAGAAGGAGGGGAGUGAGCAGAGCUCCAUUUUAACAACGCACAGCCUUCUCUGUGCUGCAGAUCUGCACACGAGGAGCCCUCCGGAGAGCAGGCCUCUUGCUCUGAUGGACCCAGAGAGACAAACACAGCAGGGCACCCCGAUUAGAUCUGGAGCAACUAAAACAAAGCUAUAAAGACGCUUGAAGAUGAUAAUGUGUGAUGGUGACAGCCUCGUCCAUGAGAUGAGAGGAGGUGUGAAUGUUCCUAGAUCUAAGACCAUCAAGAGCAUCCCAUGAAAACCCAGAAACUACUGCCCAUGCACUCACAGGGCAGUGGAGCUUCCAUCUCUUAGACCCUAAGCGAAAGCCUUCCCCCUGGAAGAGCAGGUACAGAACCUCAGUUACCACCGAGUGAUGUGUUCAAGAUGCAGGUGUGCUGUGGACAAGGGCAGGCAAGUGGCACAUCCAGGGCUGGCACGGCUCUGCCCCUCUAGCCUUCUCUUGUUGGCGUGGAUCCAGGAAGGGCAGGAUGCAAGUUACUGCCAAGGCGAGCUAAAACAUCACUGGUGAGCUUGUGUCUGCUAUCAACUGACAGCUGUUACCUUACUUUGAAAGUGAUGGUACAUGACAAGAGACCUCAAAUGCAUGAUAGAAAACAUUAGCAAGAUACAGAUUGGGACUUCUCCUGUGGCUCAGAAUUUACUACAACCUCCAGGGUGGUAAGUAUCCUCAAUAUUAAGGAGAAGCAUGAGGAACAUCCCAGCAGCCUUUCCAAGAGCAAAUCCUUAGGUUAUCAGUUACCUUCCUCCCACCCGAGCAAGAGAAGCCUAGAGGUUCAUCAGGGAGAUUUCUUUGUAGAGGAUACUUAGGAAUAGGGAUUCAUGAGCAUUUACUCUCCUCUCUUGUGGGAAGGGAAGAAAGGAUUUCCCCAUCUCAGGUCAAGCCAGGGAGGCACCAAAAAAAUCCAACAUGGAGAUUAGGGUUCCCUACUGUUGGGAGAUGGCAUCUCUCAUUCCCUGGCUGAGGCUCAGAGAGAGAGAGGAACCUGUAAGUUGCUGAAGUGCUGAUCCUGCAGUGUGAUGAUGGGAGGGCUAUAUAGAUCCUCUGGGUUUUGGGGACCCGCCUGAGGACUGUAAUGCCUGCGUGUUGCCAAGAAAAGCUGGCCGGAGCAAGCUUCAAUGGCAGGGUAAGUAGGGGUGUGGCAAAUAGGGGGGUGGUGUGCUGAUUCACAUCAUACUGAAGGGACUCUGCUCACUGGGCCACAGGAGAGCCCAGAGUGGACUGGCCGCAGUGAGUGCCAAAAGCAGGGGCUGGGUAGAAAAAGGAUGGGGGGCACACAUGCUACCUGUGUCAGGUGGAAGAAACUGCCAGUGCACCCCCUAAAAAAACCUAUGGUGGAAUUACGUGAGAGCCAAGAGAGAUACACGUGGUCUAGCCAGGUGAGCAGGCCUUUCCCUUUUCUCCCUUUAACCUUCCCUCCCUUGGCCAUGACCUCAGAGGAGCCACGUCAUCAUCUCCCAGGGGUGGGAAGAUCUAUCUAUCUAUCUAUCUAUCUAUCUAUCUAUCUAUCUAUCUAUCUAUCUAUCAGUAUUGUUCAUACAAAAAAAUGGAAACAGCCUGAGAAUAUCCAUCAGUAUGGAACACUUGAAUGAAUCAUAGUAUAUCCACAUGAUGGAACGUACGCUGCUAAUAGGUAGAUCCAUAGAUAUUGAUCUCGAGAAAUACGCAUGAAACAUUACCCCCCAAAAUGAUCUUUAUAAUACAAUCUCUGUUUGGAAAGGACAUGGAGAAAAGCAUGAAAGAAUAUUACCAUUGGCUGCCAUGCUGGUGUUAGGAUGGAAGAAGGAGACAGUUAAUUAUUCUGUAUUCAGGGCUCUAUUGUUUGACUGAUACAAUGCUUCAGAAAGCCAGGCGGCCACUUUCCGCAAUUAAAAAUAAAAUCCCACUAAGUAGUAUAAAUGGAAAAAAAAUAAAGGAAAAAUGGUCCAUCAUUUUGGCAUAAAAGCUUUGCUACCUCCUGGGGUGGAGGCCACUCCUAUAUUGGACAUAGAGGAGGCAUUCACUAAAAUGUUCCAGUAACUGACUCUGAGUCAGGUGCCUACUUUCCCUGGGCUUCAUCUACAAAAUGAAGAUACUCAGGGAGAUGAUUGUUCAGAUUCUUCCCCAACUAGAAGCUCCUAUAAUAAGAUAUUGGUAGGAAAAGAGUGUCAUCUUGGGACAUCUGUCAAAGGCAGUAGAACCUGAUCAGUGGUGUGUUGUUGAGGCCCAGGGGUAGAGAGAUGGUGGUGUGAAGGGUUUCUACUGAUUAGCUGAAUUUAUGACGGGAAAGUCACGAUCUGGCUCUCAGCCGGCACCACAAGAAGGCACGGUGAGAGUCCUUCUUUAUUUUAUUUUAUUUUAUUUUAUUUUUUUUUAGAGUCCUUCUUUAGAAUCUAUGAUUUCCCUUUUUCUUCUCCCUAAUAAGUUUGCCAUGAAAAGGAAGGGAGCUGGGAUAUGGGGAAGAAGAGCACUGGACUGAACGGGGACAGAACUUCCCAGGCUGCCCCCGGGCCGCUCCAAACAGGCCUCCUCCUCUGCCCUGGGAACUGGUUCCCAGGGGUGGACAGCUCAGAACAGUCUUCAGGUGAAAAGGGAGGAGCAGCCCCCUGCCCAGGCAGACGGGAUGAGGGGAAGAGUCUGAGCUCCUGGUCAGGCAUUGCUGCCCCGGCUUUACCUUACCCCUUACCUUACAGGGAGCUUCUCCUCCCUGUUCCCCCGCCCCUGCACCCCCUCCCCGCCAGGAAAGAGAUGGAGACACUCACCGAGGACCAAGAGCCGGACACGUGACUGAGAGGUGCCCAUCAUGUCUGACAUCAGUGAGACUGAGCACUCAUGAGCACCUUUUCCUGGGAGGAAGAAGAAACCACCACUUGGCCUUACCCCAGGGCUUGGCAUGGUGCUUGCUGCCUGUGCUGAUGAUUCUCGUCCACCAUUCCCAGGCCCAAAGCCCUGUCUCAACAACCCCUUCAAAUAAACAGCUCUAAUACGUAA